UGAGCCCGUAGCGGGAGGUGCCGCCGUAGGUGGGCUUCGAGCCGACCGUGCCGGUGACCGCGCCGGGCUGGCGGAUCGAGCCGCCGGUGUCGG
rnacentral:tRNA from 1 species